UGGUCACAACAUCUUUAUUUUAUUUUUAUGUGGUGCUGAGGAUCGAACCCAGCGCCCCGCGCAUGCCUGGCGAGCACACUAUUGCUUGAGCCACAUCCCCAGCCCGCCCCGGGGUUUUUUCACACCCUGUUCUUGGACUCCUGGCAUUCAAAGACCCGAAGCCUCUUGUCCGUCGUCUCAUAGGGUCAAUCUUUGUGUCACGAUGAAUAUUCCCCUCCACAACUUUUAAAAGCAAGACCUAAAACCCAUUUUGAAGACUGGCCUCGCUGCUGUGCGCCUCUCUUGCAGAGAGAUGACAGCUCUUCCUUGGACGUUUUCACUGGUUCUGCAACACCCAGUGUCCCCUUCUCUCCGCACUCCCCGGUGGGCGCCCAGUGUCCAGGGGGAGUUUGUCCCUGGAUGAGUCCACUGUGUACAGAGGCAUCAUGGGAGUUGUCAUUGUCAGGAACAUUCUACACCCCAGGAAUCUUGAGGGAUGCUUCCUUGGAUCUGGAGAUUAUGGAAAGAAGGCCCAAGGGAUAGAGGCACUGACCCUUUCAGGAUGGUGACAUGGGGUGCCAGCUCUCUUUAUGGUGAUUUAUUGCCAAGAAGCCAAGUCAACCUGUGUUUCUGAGAUUGAGAUAGAAAUUCCAAGCCGCUGGCCUGGACUAACUUUCUCUUGGUCUGUGGUGUUGAUUGUGGACACUGGCACAACAGAAAGUGAAGUGUGAUGUUGCUACGUGACACAUUGUCAGACCUUGCCACUGUUGCCUCAGCACAACGUGGAAACUUUUACUCUGUACGAUCAGGGCAAGGAAAGCCUUGGAUUCUGGGGACUUGGGGUUCAUAGGUGGAAACCCUUCAGCUGGCUCUGCCUCUCCUCAGCAGUGCCACGGAUCCCUGGAUGGGAAGACUAGUGUCCAUCUCAUGUGUAGCCAGCUUCUGUGUCUUCUUGCCUAUUCCUGUUUUAACUGUUUAGAUCUAAAAAAAAAUGCUAAUGACGUUUUCUAUGCUGUGUCCUUGUCCUUUUACCUCAAUAAAUUUUGAAACAUGC